rnacentral:rRNA from 1 species
GACGAACGCUGGCGGCGUGCUUAACACAUGCAAGUCGAACGGAAAGGCCCUGCUUUUGUGGGGUGCUCGAGUGGCGAACGGGUGAGUAACACGUGAGUAACCUGCCCUUGACUUUGGGAUAACUUCAGGAAACUGGGGCUAAUACCGGAUAGGAGCUCCUGCUGCAUGGGGGGGGUUGGAAAGUUUCGGCGGUUGGGGAUGGACUCGCGGCUUAUCAGCUUGUUGGUGGGGGAGUGGCUUACCAAGGCUUUGACGGGUAGCCGGCCUGGGAGGGUGACCGGCCACAUUGGGACUGAGAUACGGCGCAGUCUCGUACGGGAGGCAGCGGUGGGGAAUAUUGCACAAUGGGCGGAAGCCUGAUGCAGCAACGCCGCGUGCGGGAUGACGGCCUUCGGGUUGUAAACCGCUUUCGCCUGUGACGAAGCGUGAGUGACGGUAAUGGGUAAAGAAGCACCGGCUAACUACGUG